ACACUCAACCAUAUAUUUAUUUGUAACCUUCCUUAAAAAUGUCACGUCAAGGGGUGCCUGGGUGGCUCAGUCAGUUAGAUGUCUGCCUUCAGCUGAGGUCAUGAUUCCGGGGUCCUCAGAUUGAACCUGGCAUUGGGCUCCCUGCUCAGCAGGGAGCCUGCUUCUCCCUCUCCCUCUACCUGCUGCUCCCACUGCUUGUGCUCUCUCUCUCAAAUAAAUAAUAUCUUAAAAAAAAAAUCAAGUCAAGAAAAGCUGAGUUAAUAAAACCUAUUACAAUAUAACCUAUUAGAAUAGGUUUUAAAUUAUGAAUAAUAGAAAUUAUUUUGAGACUUGGUCUUAUAUAAUUAUACCAAAUCCAAUAGAGGAUUUGCUGAUUUUUAACUGUAAAAAACAAGUAAAGUACAUCCAACACCCCUUCCUGAUAAAAACACUUAGCAAAUUAGGAAUAGAAAAGAACUGCUCAAUCUGAUAAAGAACAUCUAUGAAAAAACUCACAGCUAACAUCACACUUAAUGGUGAAAGACUGAGCUUUCCCUCUAGAAUCAGGAACAAAACAAGGAAGGCUGCUCUCACACUAUUUGAAAUUGAGCCAGAGGUUCUAGCCAGGGCAAUUAAGUGAGAAAAAUAAAUAAAAGGCAUCCAGAUCAAAAAAGAAGUAAAACUAUUUCUAUUUGCAGAUGACAUGAUGUUCCACAUUAAAAAAAAACCUAAAAGAGGGAUGCCUGGGUGGCUCAGUGGUUGAGUGUCUGCCUUCAGCUCGGGGCUUGAUCCCGGAGUUCUGUGAUUGAGUCUCACAUGGGGCUUCCUGCAUGGAGCCUGCUUCUCCCUAUGCCUAUGUCUCUGCCUCUCUCUCAUGAAUAAAUAAAUAAAAUUAAACAAAACUAUUAGAACUAAAAACGAAUUUGGCAAAGUUGCAGGAUACAAGAUCAACACACAAAAAUCAGUUGUAUAUUUGGGGUGCCUGGGUGGCUCAGUCAAUUAGGCAUUCAACUCUUGAUUUCAGCUUAGUUCACGAUUAGCCCAUGCAGGGCUUGUUGGGGAUUACAUAGGUUUAGGAUUCUCUCUCUCCCUCUGCCCCUCCCCUCUCUCCCCACUCAUGCUCUCUCUCUCUCUCCCUCUCUCCAAAAAAGCGGGGGGCGGGGUGCCAAGGUGGCUCAGUUGGUUAAGUGUCUGCCUUUGGCUGGGGUCAUGAUCCCAGGGUCCUGGCAUUGAGUCCCUUUUCAGGCUCCCUGCUCAGUGGGGAGUCUGCUUUUCCCUCUUCCUCUGGCCCUCCCCUGUGCUUGUUCUCUCUCUCUCUAAUAAAUAAGUAAAAAUCUUAAAAAAAAAAAAAGGAGGUCGCCUGGGUGGCACAAUUGGUUAAGCAUAGGACCCUUGGUUUUGGCUUAGGUCCUGCUCUCAGGGUGCUGGGAUAAAGCCCUGCAUUGGGCUCCAGAAGUCUACUCAAGUUUCUCUGUCCCCUUCUCUCUGCCUCCUCCCAUGCUUUCUCUCUCUCUAAAAAAUAUAUAAAUCUUCAGAAAAAAAUCAGUUGUAUUUCUAUACAUUAGCAGAGAAUAAUCUGAAAAUGAGAUUAAAAAAAACAAUUCCAGGGAUCCCUGGGUGGCUCAGCGGUUUGGCGCCUACCUUCGGCCCAGGGCCUGAUCCUGGAGACCAGGGAUCAAGUCCCAUGUCAGGCUCCCUGCAUGGCGCCUGCUUCUCCCUCUGCCUGUGUCUCUGCCUCUGUGUGUGUGUGUGUCUCUCAUGAAUAAAUAAAUAAAAUCUUUAAAAAAAAACAAAACAGGGGAUCCCUGGGUGGCGCAGUGGUUUGGCGCCUGCCUUUGGCCCAGGGCACGAUCCUGGAGAUCCAGGAUCGAAUCCCACGUCGGGCUCCCGGUGCAUGGAGCCUGCUUCUCCCUCUGCCUGUGUCUCUGCCUCUCUCUCUCUGUGACUAUCAUAAAUAAUAAAUAAAAAAAAAAAUUAAAAAAAAAAAACAAACAAUUCCAUUUACAAUAACAUCAAGAAGAAUAAACGUAGGAAAAAAUUUAAUCAAGGAAAUGCAUGUCUUUUUUUUUUAAACAUUCUAUUUAUUUGAGAGAGAGUGCACAAGAGAGGGGGAGGGGCAAAGGGAGAGGGAGACCCAGACUUCCCACUGAGCAGGGAGUCCCCCACACACAUACACACACCCUGCCCAGGCAAGAUUCCAGGCCCUGGGAUCAUGACCUGAGCCAAAGGCAGAUGCUUAACUGACUGAGCCACCCAGGUGUCUCAGGAAAUGCAAGUCUUGUACAAAAAUUGACUAAAAAUGGAUCAAAGAUCUAAAUGUAAGAGCUGGGGAUCCCUGGAAUGUAGUAAAUUUUUAUAUAUUGAUUUUGCUAUUAUUUCAGCAUUCUUGCCAUUAUUUCACCCUUUCUGAUCCUUAUACUGUUUCUUUUUCUUGCCUUAUUGCUUUGGCUAGGCCUCCAACACAAUGUGGAAUCAUAGUAGCAGGCAUCCUUUUCUUGUUCUUGACACAGAGGGAAUACAUCUCCCUUUUCACCAGGUUUUUAAUUUCAUUAUUUUUAAAUAUUGGCUUUUUUUUUUCAUUGUGAAAUUAGAUUUCAUUGUGAAAUCUAAACAAAGUCUAUCUGUAGGCUGCAUUCAACCCAAUCCAUUAUCUCUGCUUUACCUGAAUUCUCUCUGAAUUGUGCUAACUUUAUUGGGUAGGUACUAUUAUUCUCCCCCAUCUGACAUAUGAGGAUACUGAGGCUCAGAGAGGUGAUGUGACUUGCCACAGCCACAUACGUAGGAAGGGACAGAGCCAGAUUCAAACCUAGCUCUACUUGAUUUGAACAUCUCUGUGGAACCCUGGAUGCUCAGGAUGGACCCUCUUUAUAUUUCAUUCUCUCCAGCACCUUGGGGGUCCUAUAGAGAGCUCUGGGGUCCUGGAGCAGCUCUGGUGUCAACUUUGAGUAACCCAUGACCAAGGGCCUUCCCCCUUAAAAAAAAAAAAAGAUUUUAUUUAUUUGGCAGGGGGGAGGGAGAGCACAAAGGAUGAGAGUGAGAAGCAGACUCCUCACUGAGCAGAAAGCC
rnacentral:lncRNA from 1 species